CAGUGGAUACAGGCACAGGAAGGUUAAGGAACUUACCAAAGAGCCCAGAGCUGCCAUGAGGUGGUCCAGAAUGAUACUCAGGUCAUACUACCUGCCAGCCCUGCCCAAAGCCAAGUUCACCCUUGAACUGUUUUUGCUUGGGUCAUCAAGAAAUGGAACUUCUGUGUAUUUCAAAUCUCUAAGACGAGUUUGCAGAGAUGCUUCUGGGCUCCUUUUCAGUGAUGAUUUAUGCAUGCUCUACUCAAAUGUGACUCAGUUCUCAAUAAGGAUACACCUUGAUGUUCAUUAUUUAGGAGUUGGAAAAAGGGACCGAUAUGCUCUCCUGGAGACAGUCAGAUCAGAGAGACUGUGGACCUUCUUUUCCAACCUGCUGUCCCAUCCUGAGCCUUUGGGGAAAGCGUUUCAAGUAAAUGAAGAAUUUCUGGAGCCCAGCAGAAUUUGAG
rnacentral:lncRNA from 1 species